CUAACAUUAAUUAUAUUAUUAUCUACCCGUAGAAACUGGAAUUUUAUUUUUCCGACUUGUAAUUAUUUUUAUUUAUUUUUUUCAUUCGAAAAUAUUUUUAAUUACCAAAUAAAUAGAGAAAAAUAUCAAUAUACAUUUUAAAAAUCACGAAAAUUAUGCCAAAUAGUUCCUGUUGAUAUUACAAUAAUUGUUGAAUUUUUUUUUUAUUUUUCUGGUUUGUAAUUAUAUUUUUUAUUAUUUUAAUUCAAAAAAAUACAAUAAAAUAGAUAAUAAAUAGAGAAAAAUAUCGAAAUAUAUUUUAAAAAUCACGAAAGUUAUGCCAAUUAGUUCCUGUUGAUUAUUCAAGUGUUCUUGAAAUUUUAUUUUAUUUUUCUGGUUUUUAUUUAUAUUUUUUUAUUAUUUUAAUUCAAGAAAUACAGUAAAAUAGAUAAUAAAUAGAGAAAAAUAUCAAAAUAUAUUCGAAAAAUCACGAAAAUUAUCCCAUUUGGCUCCUGCUGUAGUUACAUGAAUUUAUGAAAUUUUUAUUUUAUUUUUAUGAUUUUUAAUUACAUUUUUUUAUUAUUUUAAUUCAAAAAAUAGAUAAUAAUUAGAGAAUAUUAAUUCGGGUAUGAGGUUGAAGAGUGAAGGAUAGUUCUUUUACGAAAUAGUAAUUAUUAUUUAUAUUAUUCGUAUUAUUCGGGUACUUUUAAUAUUUAAUUUCUAUUUAUUCAUUAUUUUAACUAAUAUAUUCGUUAAAAUAGUGAAAAAAACACCAAAGCUCGUUAACAUAACCAUUCUCCGUGGAAUCAUACACCCCCCCUACACCCCCCCCCCCCCCACAAGUGAACGUGACGAUAUCAUCUUCGUAGCAAAAGAUACGUUGAAAACAUUUAUCAUUGUUCAUCGACUUAUUGUUCCAUGCCUUGCCCAAGCCCAAACUAGUCGCUAUUCUCAAAAUCUGAGAAAACGGCCCCGACAACCACCGUGCCAAAUUCAAUUUCCUACGCCCUCGUAUUUUUUAUUAUUUUUUUCGGGUCGGAAAAUUUUCGGACUUUCGGCACCGGCCCAGCCAAGGUGCUGGCGACUCUGCCCAAGGUGCUAGCAACCUUGGGCAAAAACUAGUCGCUCCCGACGUUUUCGGAGCAAUUCUCGAAAUCUGAGAAAACGGCCCCGACAACCACCGUGCCAAAUUCAAUUUCCUACGCGCUCGUAUUUUUUAUUAUUUUUUUCGGGUCGGAAAAUUUUCGGACUUUCGGCACCGGCCCAGCCAAGGUGCUGGCGACUCUGCCCAAGGUGCUAGCAACCUUGGGCAAAAACUAGUCGGUCCCGACGUUUUCGGAGCAAUUCUCGAAAUCUGAGAAAACGGCCCCGACAACCACCGUGCCAAAUUCAAUUUCCUACGCGCUCGUAUUUUUUAUUAUUUUUUUCGGGUCGGAAAAUUUUCGGACUUUCGGCACCGGCCCAGCCAAGGUGCUGGCGACUCUGCCCAAGGUGCUAGCAACCUUGGGCAAAAACUAGUCGCUCCCGACGUUUUCGGAGCAAUUCUCGAAAUCUGAGAAAACGGCCCCGACAACCACCGUGCCAAAUUCAAUUUCCUACGCGCUCGUAUUUUUUAUUAUUUUUUUCGGGUCGGAAAAUUUUCGGACUUUCGGCACCGGCCCAGCCAAGGUGCUGGCGACUCUGCCCAAGGUGCUAGCAACCUUGGGCAAAAACUAGUCGCUCCCGACGUUUUCGGAGCAAUUCUCGAAAUCUGAGAAAACGGCCCCGACAACCACCGUGCCAAAUUCAAUUUCCUACGCGCUCGUAUUUUUUAUUAUUUUUUCGGGUCGGAAAAUUUUCGGACUUUCGGCACCGGCCCAGCCAAGGUGCUGGCGACUCUGCCCAAGGUGCUAGCAACCUUGGGCAAAAACUAGUCGGUCCCGACGUUUUCGGAGCAAUUCUCGAAAUCUGAGAAAACGGCCCCGACAACCACCGUGCCAAAUUCAAUGUCCUACGCGCUCGUAUUUUUUAUUAUUUUUAUCGGGUCGGAAAAUUUUCGGACUUUCGGCACCGGCCCAGCCAAGGUGCUGGCGACUCUGACCAAGGUGCUAGCAACCUUGGGCAAAAACUAGUCGCUCCCGACGUUUUCGGAGCAAUUCUCGAAAUCUGAGAAAACGGCCCCGACAACCACCGUGCCAAAUUCAAUUUCCUACGCGCUCGUAUUUUUUAUUAUUUUUUUCGGGUCGGAAAAUUUUCGGACUUUCGGCACCGGCCCAGCCAAGGUGCUGGCGACUCUGCCCAAGGUGCUAGCAACCUUGGGCAAAAACUAGUCGGUCCCGACGUUUUCGGAGCAAUUCUCGAAAUCUGAGAAAACGGCCCCGACAACCACCGUGCCAAAUUCAAUUUCCUACGCGCUCGUAUUUUUUAUUAUUUUUUUCGGGUCGGAAAAUUUUCGGACUUUCGGCACCGGCCCAGCCAAGGUGCUGGCGACUCUGCCCAAGGUGCUAGCAACCUUGGGCAAAAACUAGUCGGUCCCGACGUU
rnacentral:lncRNA from 1 species